CUUAGCAGAGAUGCUUUGGUGCCUUCGGGAACUCUGAGACAGGUGCUGCAUGGCUGUCGUCAGCUCGUGUUGUGAAAUGUUGGGUUAAGUCCCGCAACGAGCGCAACCCUUAUCCUUUGUUGCCAGCGGCUCGGCCGGGAACUCAAAGGAGACUGCCGGUGAUAAACCGGAGGAAGGUGGGGAUGACGUCAAGUCAUCAUGGCCCUUACGGCCAGGGCUACACACGUGCUACAAUGGCGCAUACAAAGAGAAGCGACCUCGCGAGAGCAAGCGGACCUCAUAAAGUGCGUCGUAGUCCGGAUUGGAGUCUGCAACUCGACUCCAUGAAGUCGGAAUCGCUAGUAAUCGUAGAUCAGAAUGCUACGGUGAAUACGUUCCCGGGCCUUGUACACACCGCCCGUCACACCAUGGGAGUGGGUUGCAAAAGAAGUAGGUAGCUUAACCUUCGGGAGGGCGCUUACCACUUUGUGAUUCAUGACUGGGGUGAAGUCGUAACAAGGUAGGCGUAGAUGA
rnacentral:rRNA from 1 species